GAGGUCCUGCUUUGUUACUCACCCUGGUCUCAAACUCCUGAACUCAAGCCAUCUUCUCACCUCAGUUUCCACCUGAGCCUCUGAAAGCUCUGGGAUUACAGGUGUGAAAAGAGCUGUAACACGCGUUUCUGCUGGGGAGCAACAGGAGUGAAAAAACCGCUGGACACCACAGGCCCCCGUUUGCUGAGCUAAGGGUGGCAGGAACAAACAAGAACUGUAACACUUCCUGGGGGCUCAGACCUCUGGACUCUCCAAGCAAAAGCUGUAACACUCCUUGGGGCUCUGCGUUUGCUGGCUUCUCCAUGUUUUCGGACGCCAUCGCAUCCCCCUCGUCUAGAUGUCGGCACCCAAGGAGGAAGCCAGUUGCGGCAUGGCUGGACCAGCUGCAGGCUGAGGGCAGAGCUGCAAUGGGCAUAGGAUCCAGGCCAGUAGUGUGAGCUGAGCGCAGCCUGCCGCCGAGUGGGUGGAACGAGCCCACUGGCGAUUUUCAGCUGGUGAAGUGGCACCGAAAGAAUCCUGUAUCAAAUGCACCCAAAUGGGAGUGGAGGGGGAAGGUGAAAUUGAUAGUUUUAGUAUUUUGAAUGCUUGGGGCACUUGCGUCUUAUGAAGCUUGCAAACCAGCCAAUAAGACAGAUGUAAAGUAAUAAUAAUGAUGUAGGCCGAAUGUUCUUGAUUUGGUUUGGCUCUAUGUCCCCACCCAAAUCUCAUGUCGAAUUGUAAUCCCCAAAUGUCAAGGGAGAGACCUAGUGGGAUGUGAUCGGAUCAUGGGGGCAGAUUUCCCCCUUGCUGUUCUUGUGAUAGUAUGUUCUCACGAGAUCUGGUUGUUUGAAAGUAUGUGGCAUUUCCCCCUUCACUAUCUUUCUCUUCUGCUCCACCAUAGACAGACAUACUUGCUUGCCCUUUACCUUCCACCAUGAUUGUAAGCCUCCUAGCCAUGAUUCCUGUACAGCCUGUGGAACUGUGAGUCAAUUAAACCUCUUUUCUUCAUAAAUCACCCAGUCUCAGGUAGAUCUUUAUAGCAGUGUGAGAACAGACUAAUACAGUUCUGAUAAUAAAUAAUAUACCUGAGAAAUAUACACUGAUUUAAUUUUACUUUAGCGAAAGGUAUUUAUGUAAAUAGAAAUAUAAUUGAAUGGAAAGAUGGAUAGAAACAGAUGAUAGAUAUGAAAUUAUAUUUUAGAUAUAUAAUUAUUCAAGUAUAAAAAAGAGUAUCUGAUAAGUUAAUAAAAAAUCUGCAUGUUAAAAUCAGUAAGCAUGAAUGCAAUAAACUCCAUUUGCUAUGAUUACAGUUCUUAUUGUCAGUAUGCAGGAAUUACCAACAACUUUAUAUUGUGCCUGCUACAAGUUCUCAAUAUUGGACAAAAUAAAUAAAAGCCAAAAUAUUUCUUUAAAAAGUUAACUGCAUCCAACAUUGCUAAACACUACAAAGCACCACCUUACAGGGGUAACAUUCAAGUUGAUUAAUAUAAUAUUUUCUCUCACAAGUGGAAUCAUGUCACUAUAACUCAAGGAUACUGAUGAAGAAGUAAUGGCCAAAGUGAAAUUUUUGACAACUGGCAAUAUAGCCAUAUCAUAUAGAUCAUUUCUGUUAUGUUUUGUCAAAGAACCUUAAAUUUUUUCCUAUCUAAACUUUCACCAACAUAAAUAAUAGAUCUCUUUCCAUAUUCUCUGCAAUAACAUUUGCAGUAAAUUUAAUUUAUAAUACUGCACCACGUAUCCAGUGCUGUACUGUCAUUGAGAUUAUUGAAAUGAUAGUUCUGCUAGAUAAUCUAUCAAUCCAAAUGGCAGAACUUGGACCAAUCUCGUCUAUAUUAAAAUUACCUUCCCUGUAAGAAACCUAUAAUUCUUUUCUUCUCUUUCACAACUUUGCCUCUGUUUUGAGUUUUAUGAAUAAUUGCAUUUCUACUGAUCAAAAACAAAUUCUAGUAUACUAGGUACACUGUCAUUGAUCACUAUAAGCACUAAUGUAUGAAUAAAAAUAUGUUUAUGUUUCAAGCUAAAACUGACAUCUCUGUAAUAAGAAAUCAUACACAAUCUAGCACAUUACCAUCCUUCUACCUGGGGAGGGAGAGAACUUGGGCUUUAUAAGAGUCAAGAUUUGAUCUAAUAAAAUAUUGAUGAGUGGCAUGCCUGUCAUUCUCUCAGUGUCCUACAUGCUUUCUCUCUUGUUAAUAUAAUACAUCGAAGGCAUUGCUAUCAAUUAGCGCAGUGUCACAGAAUGCGAAACCAGGACAAAAAUUCUCCAGCUGAAUAUCAUCCUGUUCACAGUAUUGAAUAGUACUGUGGGUACAGUUUGUCUAGGAUGGAUAAGGGUAAAAUAAUAUAGAACAUUUAAAAAUUAUUUUUAUUGUGAUUUAAAAUGGUUACUCGUUUCAACUCUGGAAACUAGUUUCACAGUUUUUUCCUCUAGAGGGGCAUUAGUUGGGUCGAUUCUUACUAAGUCCUUACUAAGCAAGAGAAAAACCAUGCACAGGAAUCUCCAAACUGGAACUUCUUUUCAGAAUAUUUUGGAACGCUAGUAGACCAAAACCUAAAAUAAAAAUGUAGCUGCAGCACUUAAGCAACUAACUUUGUGGACUAAACUUAUUGAUAUUCUAACUAAAUUAGUUGGUUAUUUGGUGUAACAUGAUCCUAGGAAUUGGAAAUUCGAAGUCAAGUCCUCAGUGUCCAUGUCCUUUAACUUCACUGAUACUUGAAAAGAUGGGGAGUCUUUCUUCAAAAUGGAGAGAAAGGUUAUUCCUUAUUCCUUGAGAAGGCAUUUGAAACAAAUAGAAAAAAUAAAUAAAUAAUUGACAAUGAAAACUGGCAGCAUCUUUCAAACAAUACCCUGGCUGAAAAUAUCAAUCAAUUAAAAACCUUGCAUUUUAAAAAUUGAAAAAGGAAAUCGUAGCGCACACUUAGUGGUGCCAUUUAUGAAAGUACAAGGAGAAAACCUCUUAGUGGUCUGGGUUCUGAUGUAAGCCUACUGAAUUUUGAGAGAAGAAACCCAAAGAUGAAUGCCAAUGAAAAGUAAUAGGUUCUCUCAGUUAUGUUUCAUAUUUAGACAGUAUCAACAACACCAAAAUAUUCAAACAGGUCAACUGGGUAGAAAAAUAAUUAGUUAUUUCCCAUUGACUAGAUAAGCAACUUGUUUAACUGCUUUUACUUCAUUUGGUAACCUGUUAGUAUUACAUAAUACAAACAUAGCUGUAUUUUAAAAAUAGUAAACCAAAGUUUUGUUACAGAAUAAGCCACAACAUAUAGCUGUGAGUGUUAGGGUUUUCAUAAAGAAAUGGAUUGCCAUUUUUUCCAGUUUAUUUCAAAGCAGCUGAUUCAGACAUUAGAGGAAUCAUUUAUAGAAGAAAGAUGCAUUAAUUCCUAUUAGGUAAAAGGCUGUCUCUGGCUAUGCAUAGGGUUAAAAAAAUAAUGCUCAAGAAAUGAGUCCAAUGAACUUUGUAUAUACUUACCUUUCAUUGUUUUUACACAAUUUGAAAGUAUUAAGCAAAUAAUUUACUAUCCCUGGGGGUGGGGGGAGGGAGAAAUAAAUCAGCCAGCCAAAGAUCUGAUUCUUGUUGUUUGUUUUGUUGUAAUUUAAUUGUAUUUUUCAAAUAGGUAGUUCAAUCAUAUGGUGCAAAGAGAAAACAAUAUUAAAAGACAGAAAUUAAGAAGUUCUCUUUUGUUCCUGUCAUUGUCCAAACCAUUCUUACCCACAAAGCCCUGUCACUUUAAUUAGUUUCUAGUAUAGCCUCCCAGUAUUUCUGCAUAUAGAUAAAGAAUAUAUAACAUGACUAGACACACAGAAUAUAUAAGUAUAUAUUCUUAUGUGUAAAAUUAUUUUCUUUUAAGAAUUUUAAAAUUACCUUUUAAGAAUAAGAAUAUAAAUAUUUUUAUUUUAAAAACUGACAGACGUAAAAUUUACUUUUUUUGUGGUACAGUUCUAUGAGUUCUAACAGAGUAUAGAUUUGUAGAACUACCUCCACACUCGGAAGAAAGAUGAGUUCCAUCAUUCCCCAAAUCUCCCAUGGUACUUCUCUGUGAUUAUGCCCUCUCUCCAUCCCAAACCCCUGGCAGCCAUUCAUCUGUUCUCUCUUGUUAAAGUUUUAUCUUUUUAAGUAUGCCAUAUAAAUGGAAUUACACACACACACACACACACACACACACACACACAUAUGUAAUCUUUUAUGAUUGGCUGCUGUUGCUUAACAUAAUGUAUUUAAGAUGCAUCUAAAUUUAUGUAUCUCAUCAGCAACUUGUGGGAGCACCUGUUCCUCCAAAGUGUCACUAAAAAAGCAUUUUGUCAAACUUGGCUCUUUCGUUCCUUCUAGUUGUUUAGAGUUAUCUGUAAGACACUAGAAAACAAUCAUUCUGGGUAAACACAAUUCCUUGUUUUUCAUUCUAAUUUGAUAAAGAAUACAUACACACAAAGUGUUAGGUUGUCAUAAGACAAGGCAAGAACUCUGGUGCUUAAUCACUCAACGUGGACCACUUUGUCUAGAAAAUUGCUUUAAAAGACCAAAAAAAUGUUUCAAACAGUAAUAUGAAUAUGGUUUAUAAAGUGUGUCUGAUCUCAUUUUAUGAAUUUAACACCUUCACCUGUUUUAUGCAUCCAUUCCUUUCCCAAUGUUUUAUUUUAUUGAAUAUGUACACGUUCUUUUUAAACACAAAACCAAAAGCAUUUUCUCCCAAAUAUUAUGGACAUUUCAACAGAAUUAUAUUUGUUUACUUGACUUUUUAUUGAAUUACUUUGCUAACUAUCUUCAUUUCCCAUUUUAGUUUGCCAAAAUAAAGCAAAAGUUCUUAGGAGGAAAGUUUCAACUGAGACUAUUUUUUCUAACACAGGGACUUCUAAAUGUGGUCUUAGUUUAAGUCCUGGGACUCAUAGUUAUUGCAACAACUAUAUCCAAUAUUUAACAUUUAAUUUUUCUCAUUAACCUUGAAACUUAUUACUAAUUCUUCAGUUACUCUCUCAUAUUCAUCUUAAUCAUAGAAAGUUUGUUGUCAUUUCCUAUCAUAUUUUAAUUCAUUAUUUAUGAAAAGAGUAAUUUCAAUUUGCCUUUAAGCAUUAACUCUGGAUUUUUCAGGAUUUUCUAUUUCUUUUAAGUGUUGGUUCUGUAGUUGAAAUGACUAUUUAAGGGCCACUAUUCUCUUAUAAACAUAUAUUUUGGGGGCUUUUAGAAACAAAUUAUGUAAAAAUAUAAUUAUGGGCCUUAUAUGAGAGUUAAAGACAACUAUUUAUUUUUGACCUGUGCUACUAUGUGGGAAAAAUCAUACUUUUUAAAUGAAAUGAGAAUAACAUACCCAGUAUUAGAAAAAUGUUUAAGGCUAACUCCAAUUAUAGUAUCAAAAUAUAAUCAACGUAAUAACUCUAAUUACAAUAAAUUAUUUAAAAACAGGUAUAAAUCAGACCAAUUUUUAUGUGAGCUUUAAAUAGUCUGAAAUAGUUUUAUUGCAAUUAAACCUCAUGAAUCAUGCAAGUUUCUAGUCAAAUAAAAUUAUUUUAUUUGCCUACUAUUGCUAAUUUUAUACUUUAGCACAACUUGAAGGUCAUAGCAAAAAUAUAUACACUAAGAAAAACCUCUCAAUUUGUUUGUAAUUGUCCAGUUUAUUCUGUUUCCUUAUUACAAAUUUAUUUUUGUGAUAUUCUAAUAUAGGUUUGUCCUGGGUUUAUGUAGAUGAGUUAUAAAAAUAAAAAUAAUUUCUGACUCAAUUAUUAUAAGCAAUGAAUAUGUACAGGUAACAAUUACUUCUUUUAGCAAUUUUUAAAGGGGUUAUACUACACAUAAGCGCUUCAUAUGUUCAGUGUUGAAUGGUAUGUUUUCAGUGGAACUUUGAUAAAAUUGAUUGUAUCCCGAG
rnacentral:lncRNA from 1 species